GUAUGGUGCAAGCGUUAUCCGGAUUUACUGGGUGUAAAGGGAGCGUAGACGGAUGGGCAAGUCUGAUGUGAAAACCCGGGGCUCAACCCCGGGACUGCAUUGGAAGCUGUUCAUCUAGAGUGCUGGAGAGGUAAGUGGAAUUCCUAGUGUAGCGGUGAAAUGCGUAGAUAUUAGGAGGAACACCAGUGGCGAAGGCGGCUUACUGGACAGUAACUGACGUUGAGGCUCGAAAGCGUGGGGAGCAAACAGGAUUAGAUACCCUGGUAGUCCACGCCGUAAACGAUGACUACUAGGUGUCGGGUGGCAAAGCCAUUCGGUGCCGCAGCAAACGCAAUAAGUAGUCCACCUGGGGAGUACGUUCGCAAGAAUG
rnacentral:rRNA from 1 species